AACGAACGCUGGCGGCAUGCCUAACACAUGCAAGUCGAACGAACCCUUCGGGGUUAGUGGCGCACGGGUGCGUAACGCGUGGGAAUCUGCCCUUUGCUUCGGAAUAACAGUUAGAAAUGACUGCUAAUACCGGAUGAUGUCUUCGGACCAAAGAUUUAUCGGCAAGGGGUGAGCCCGCGUAGGAUUAGGUAGUUGGUGGGGUAAAGGCCUACCAAGCCGACGAUCCUUAGCUGGUCUGAGAGGAUGAUCAGCCACACUGGGACUGAGACACGGCCCAGACUCCUACGGGAGGCAGCAGUGGGGAAUAUUGGACAAUGGGCGCAAGCCUGAUCCAGCAAUGCCGCGUGAGUGAUGAAGGCCUUCGGGUCGUAAAGCUCUUUUACCAGGGAUGAUAAUGACAGCACCUGGAGAAUAAGCUCCGGCUAACUCCGUGCCAGCCGCCGCGGUAACAC
rnacentral:rRNA from 1 species